CAGCUGGCUGGAAGCUCUCCUUGGUUUUGGACAAAGUCGGGUGUUGGCUGGCCAGUCCUUGUCACAUCGCUGUGGGACAGAGUGCACUCCAGGUCACAGUUCUCGGACAGAAUGCAUUUCCAUCGAGCCUUCCAGAACAUGCCUGUUCAUGCGUUCCCUCUCUACCUUUCCUGAUGGCCACGCCUCUUCCACCCUCAGACGCAGAAAGGUCCCGCCCAGGUGACUCCUUUCUAUCUGUAGAUUCCCUUUGCCCAGCGUAGUCACCAGAGCCCCUCUGCUGCAGGCUCCUGUGCACCUGGGCUGGACAGUCCCGCACCGUGUUGGCUGAGGAUUCUGGAAUGCACCCAGACACACAGCUCCUUUCCCGGUCCGGUGUGCUUCCGUCUUCGAAGGCUGCGGCAUGGACCCAGGGGAGUUCCAGGAUUACGGAUGUGGAUCACCAUCUAGCUGUCUACAUGGGACCUGGGGAUUGAACUCAGGUCAUCAGAUCUGGGUACAGAACCCUCAGCUCCUUCUCCAGCCCCACGUCUGCCUGCAUGCCAC